rnacentral:rRNA from 1 species
UACGGAGGGUGCAAGCGUUGUUCGGAAUCACUGGGCGUAAAGCGCACGCAGGCGGAUUGAUAAGUCGGGGGUGAAAUCCCGGGGCUCAACCUCGGAAUUGCCUUCGAUACUGUCUGUCUUGAGUCCGGGAGAGGUGAGUGGAAUUCCUAGUGUAGAGGUGAAAUUCGUAGAUAUUAGGAAGAACACCAGUGGCGAAGGCGGCUCACUGGCCCGGUACUGACGCUCAUGUGCGAAAGCGUGGGGAGCAAACAGG